AAUAUUGGACAAUGGGGGCAACCCUGAUCCAGCCAUGCCGCGUGUGUGAAGAAGGUCUUCGGAUUGUAAAGCCCUUUAAGUCGGGGGGAAGGGCUUUAGGUUAUUACCCUGAAGUUUGGACGUUACCAACAGAAUAAGCACCGCCUAACUCUGCGCCAGCAGCCGCGGUAAUACAGAGGGUGCAAGCGUUAAUCGGAAUUACUGGGCGUAAGGCGCGCGUAGGUGGGUCAGUAAGAUGGGUGUGAAAUCCCCGGGCUUAACCUGGGAACUGCUUUCAUAACUGCUGGGCUAGAGUACGGUAGAGGGUAGUGGGAUUUCCUGUGUAGCGGUGAAAUGCGUAGAUAUAGGAGGGAACACCAGUGGCGAAGGCGACUACCUGGACUGAUACUGACACUGAGGUGCGAAAGCGUGGGGAGCAAACAG
rnacentral:rRNA from 1 species